rnacentral:lncRNA from 1 species
UUAGUGGUAACUGUACAGCUUGUCUCUCAAGAGUUCAGAUCAGUCUUGGUGAUAUAUCCACAACCUUGUCAUGGCUGCAGCCAGCUGCCAGAGAGGACUCUUUGAGCAUCAUUCCAUUCACAAUUGUGUAUCUCAUGGCUGGUCUCACCUAAUCAUAAUCAGUGUGCACGCAAGGCAAUGUUUGUUAGUACAGAACCUGACAAAGUACACCAUUGUUAACCAGUUUUUUUCACCCUUGCAGCAAAACUUUUGUCCUCAAAUGGAACAAGCGAUGGCAUUUUUUUUCUGCAGGCAGAGGGAUUACCUCCACAGCAUAUGGCUGCCUCUAAUCAGGUUUUGUUGUAGCAUGCUGUCGUGGCAUCAGAAACCCUAAUUGCGUUGGAUAAGCACUCUCUCUCUCUUUCUUCCACGUCUCAAGCUGUUCUUGGUCUGGAGUCGGUUAAAUGCG